UUCUGGCUCAGGAUGAAACGCUAGCUACAGGCUUAACACAUGCAAGUCAGGGGCAGCAUGGUCUUAGCUUGCUAAGACCGAUGGCGACCGGCGCACGGGUGAGUAACGCGUAUCCAACCUUCCCCUUAGUAGGGCAUAGCCCGUAGAAAUGCGGAUUUAAUACCCUAUGUUGUAUAUUGAGGACAUCUGAUUUAUACCAAAGGUUCACCGCUAAGGGAUGGGGAUGCGUCUGAUUAGGUUGUUGGCGGGGUAACGGCCCACCAAGCCUACGAUCAGUAGGGGUUCUGAGAGGAAGGUCCCCCACAUUGGAACUGAGACACGGUCCAAACUCCUACGGGAGGCAGCAGUGAGGAAUAUUGGCCAAUGGACGAGAGUCUGAACCAGCCAAAAGUAGCGUGCAGGAUGACGGCCCUAUGGGUUGUAAACUGCUUUUAUACGGGGAUAAAGUGAGGGACGUGUCCCUUUUUGUAGGUACCGUAUGAAUAAGGACCGGCUAAUUCCGUGCCAGCAGCGGC
rnacentral:rRNA from 1 species